rnacentral:rRNA from 1 species
GAGAGUUCGAUCCUAGCUCAGGAUGAACGCUAGCGGCGUGCUUAAGGUAUGCAAGUCGAACGAGUCGGAUUUCGGACCUCAGACGUCAGAUUUCGGAUCUCGGAUAUCAGAUUUCAGAUUUGUUGUUAUUACUUUCGCGAGACUGUUUAAUUGCUUUGAGAUAGAUAUGUAUCUCUCUUUGGCUUUGCCAAGCAACUCAACAGGUACAUGGUUAAAUUGUGAUGAAGCGAUAAUGUCGAGAUGGGUGAUUGUUUCGUCAGAGGAAGACGUUGCUUCUACGACGAAACGGCGGAAUUCUCUUUGAGAGCUCUUUCUUCCAUAACCUUCAGAGAUUAGGGGAGGGAUGCUCUUUGAGGAUCGAAGCACUUGUCUUUUCGUAUCGGAAAGCUCUCCAUAAAGAAGUUUUGCGAUAUUCUCGAUUUCUCUAAACGCUUCCAUCGAUUCCAUAUAAACGCGAAGUUGAGUUACAUUCAUUGUGAUUAAUAUUAACAAAUCUGAUCUCUGAUUUCUGGUAUCUGAUAUCUGGUUUCUGGAGUCCGAUAUCCGAUAAGUGGCGGACGGGUGAGUAAUGCGUGGGAAGAUACCCUCAGGUGGUGAAUACCCCCGCGAAAGCGGGGCUAAUACACCGUGGUCUCCGGUAGCAAUAUCGGAGUAUAGGUCGCCGCAAGGUGACCGCCAGAGGAUUCGCCUGCGUCCCAUCAGCUAGUUGGUAGGGUAAUGGCCUACCAAGGCUUUGACGGGUAGCUGGACUGAGAGGUCGGCCAGCCACAAGGGCACUGAGACACGGGCCCUACACCUACGGGUGGCAGCAAUCGGGAAUCUUGCGCAAUGGGCGAAAGCCUGACGCAGCGACGCCGCAUGAAGGAUGAAGGCUUUCGGGUCGUAAACUUCUGAAAAUAGCACCGGCAAACUACGUGCCAGCAGCAGCGGUAAUACGUAGGGUGCAAGCGUUAUCCGGAUUUAUUGGGCGUAAAGAGUUCUGUAGGCGUCUUCUUAAGUUUCUGGUUAAAUCCCCCGACUCAAUCGGGGACAAGCUGGAAAUACUGGGAGGAUUGAGAAAGAUAGGGGGUAGCGGAAUUGGUGGCGUAGCGGUGAAAUGCGUUGAUCCCACCAAGAACAUCAAAGGCGUAGGCAGCUACCUGGGUCUUUUCUGACGCUGAGAGACGAAAGCGUGGGGAGCAAAACGGAUUAGAUACCCGUGUAGUCCACGCUGUAAACUUUGGACACUGGAUUCCUGUUCUCUCACCUUCGGGUGGGGGAGUGGGUGUCGAAGCUAACGCGUUAAGUGUCCCGCCUGGGGAGUACGGCCGCAAGGCUAAAACUCAAAGGAAUUGACGGGGACCCGCACAAGCAGUGGAACACGUGGUUUAAUUGGAUGUUAACCCAAGAACCUUACCCAGAUUUGACAUGGAAGCUGCACACCCCGAGAAAUCGGGGCUCCUUCGAGGGUGCUUCCACAGGUGUUGCAUGGCUGUUGUCAGCUCGUGUCGUGAGAUGUACCCUUAAGUGGGCUAACGAGCGCAACCCCUAUUGCUAGUUGUAUCACUCUAGCGAAACUGCCGUUCUUAUGAACGGAGGAAGGAAGGGAUGACUUCAAGUCAGCAUGGCCUUUAUAUCUGGGGCCACACACAUGUUACAAUGGCGCGCACAACGAGUUUGCGACUCCGCGAGGGGAAGCUAAUCUCUAAAAUCGCGUCUCAGUUCGGAUUGAAGGCUGCAACUCGCCUUCAUGAAGUUGGAAUUGCUAGUAAUCGCUGGUCAGCUAUACAGCGGUGAAUACGUUCUCGG